rnacentral:rRNA from 1 species
GACGAACGCUGGCGGCGUGCCUAAUACAUGCAAGUCGAACGCAUUUUCUUUCACCGUAGCUUGCUACACCGAAAGAAAAUGAGUGGCGAACGGGUGAGUAACACGUGGGUAACCUGCCCAUCAGCGGGGGAUAACACUUGGAAACAGGUGCUAAUACCGCAUAAUUCCAUUUACCGCAUGGUAGAUGGGUGAAAGGCGCUUUUGCGUCACUGAUGGAUGGACCCGCGGUGCAUUAGCUAGUUGGUGGGGUAACGGCCUACCAAGGCUGCGAUGCAUAGCCGACCUGAGAGGGUGAUCGGCCACACUGGGACUGAGACACAGCCCAGACUCCUACGGGAGGCAGCAGGAGGGAAACUUCGGCAAGGGACGCAAGUCUGACCGAGCAACGCCGCGUGAGUGAAGAAGGUUUUCGGAUCGUAAAACUCUGUUGUUAGAGAAGAAAAAGGAUGAGAGUGGAAAGUUCAUCCCUUGACGGUAUCUAACCAGAAAGCCACGGCUAACUACGUG